rnacentral:rRNA from 1 species
UACGGGGGGGGCAAGCGUUGUUCGGAAUUACUGGGCGUAAAGGGUUCGUAGGUGGCCAACUAAGUCAUACGUGAAAUCCCUCAGCUUAACUGGGGAACUGCGUCUGAUACUGGUUGGCUUGAGUGCAGGAGAGGAACGCGGAAUUCCAGGUGUAGCGGUGAAAUGCGUAGAGAUCCGGAGGAACACCGAAGGCGAAGGCAGUGUCCUGGGGAGUACCUGACGCUCAGGUGCGAAAGCCAGGGGAGCGAACGGG